rnacentral:rRNA from 1 species
ACGAAAGCUGGCGGCGUGCUUAACACAUGCAAGUCGAACGGAAAGGCCCUGCUUUUGUGGGGUGCUCGAGUGGCGAACGGGUGAGUAACACGUGAGUAACCUGCCCUUGACUUUGGGAUAACUUCAGGAAACUGGGGCUAAUACCGGAUAGGAGCUCCUGCUGCAUGGUGGGGGUUGGAAAGUUUCGGCGGUUGGGGAUGGACUCGCGGCUUAUCAGCUUGUUGGUGGGGUAGUGGCUUACCAAGGCUUUGACGGGUAGCCGGCCUGAGAGGGUGACCGGCCACAUUGGGACUGAGAUACGGCCCAGACUCCUACGGGAGGCAGCAGUGGGGAAUAUUGCACAAUGGGCGGAAGCCUGAUGCAGCAACGCCGCGUGCGGGAUGACGGCCUUCGGGUUGUAAACCGCUUUCGCCUGUGACGAAGCGUGAGUGACGGUAAUGGGUAAAGAAGCACCGGCUAACUACGUG